AUACGUUUGUUUUAGGUUGUCACGCAAGCCACCCCGCAAUGUUCUGGGAACGUUAGUUUAUGGUUAUAAAAAUAAAACCUAACAAUAACCAUUAGAGAACGUUCUAUAUAUGUUUGUUUUAGGUUGUCACACAAGCCACCCCGCAAUGUUCUGGGAACGUUAGUUUAUGGUUAUAAAAAUAAAACCUAACAAUAACCAUUAGAGAACGUUCUAUAUAUGUUUGUUUUAG